AUGUACGCUGCCAAUAAAGAUUGAACUCGAGUCUGGUUUUCCUUUUGUUUUACUCCUGUCUUAGCCAGAUAAACUUGCUCUUAUAUGAUUGCUGAGCAAAGCGGUGCGUAUUCCGGUUACAAUCGUAUUCACUGUCAAAAUGCCCUCAUUACCCUAGCAUAGUUACAAUAACUCGCUUCAUUAGAUUUAUAACCGUAUUGCAAAGCAAGAAAUGCUGUGAACGUGAAACGUGAACCGCCUCCUGAAUGUUUUUUUCCCGUGCACUAUUAUGUGCAGUGUAAGUGGUUUAGACUUUACUAACGCGCCUCUUGCACCUUUUUCUGUUCCGAUUUCGGCAUUUGAUGUCAAUCGUUUGUGACGAGAGGUAAUAAUGAGGUAAGUAGUGCGUUUUUAUUUCUGAUUGAUUUUCGGUUCCAAAAACUUUUUCCUUUUUGUUCUUUCAGUUCAUUCGUUGUAUAUUCACCCAAUGCCCGUGGCCUCCACAGGGCCCGCACUUGGUGUCUGGACACCCGGUUUUCGCCAUUUUUAGGUUAAGGGUCGGAAAUAUAAAUUUGAACCGGAUUCACUAUUGCGUAUUGUAUUGUUUCUAGGCUCUCCGAAAACCACCCUCCGAGACGUUUCUUUAUUUUUUUUCAGCUAUGGUGUCAUGUAUGGGUAUUUUCUUCUUGCUCUGGUGCCUUCCCCCUCUCGACGGAUACUGUAAUAAUUUAUAGGAUAAUCUGGUGAGUGCAACCUUAGAAAUAAUUUUUUUUGAUUAGAUUAGAGCUUUUUUUAAGGAGUGUUAAAUCUGAGCUUAGGCUCGUUCGCCACUUGAAAAGCUGCUAGUUACUUUGUGUUAAUACUUAUCAUCGGUGUUUUAGUUUCCUUUCACUCUUGCUCGCUUGCGCGAGAUAUAGGGUGGUGGAUAUAUUUCCACCGUUGUCUACGUAUUUUUCGAUCGCGUUUAGUUUCCUCUACCAUAGUGUUUAAUAUUUGAGUUUCGUAAAAUGGAAUAUCUUUGAUCAUGGUCAAUGGUCUCUCAUUUUACG